rnacentral:rRNA from 1 species
AAAACCUCCUCGCCGGAAGACCAAGGGUUCCUGUCCAACGUUAAUCGGGGCAGGGUGAGUCGACCCCUAAGGUGAGGCCGAAAGGCGUAAUCGAUGGGAAACGGGUUAAUAUUCCCGUACUUCUGACUAUUGCGAUGGGGGGACGGAGAAGGCUAGGUGGGCCAGGCGACGGUUGUCCUGGUUCAAGUGCGUAGGCUUGAGAGUUAGGUAAAUCCGGCUCUCUCUAAGGCUGAGACACGACGUCGAGCUACUACGGUAGUGAAGUCAUUGAUGCCAUGCUUCCAGGAAAAGCCUCUAAGCUUCAGAUAGUCAGGAAUCGUACCCCAAACCGACACAGGUGGUCGGGUAGAGAAUACCAAGGCGCUUGAGAGAACUCGGGUGAAGGAACUAGGCAAAAUGGUACCGUAACUUCGGGAGAAGGUACGCUCUUGAUGGUGAAGUCCCUCGCGGAUGGAGCUGACGAGAGUCGCAGAUACCAGGUGGCUGCAACUGUUUAUUAAAAACACAGCACUGUGCAAAAUCGCAAGAUGACGUAUACGGUGUGACGCCUGCCCGGUGCCGGAAGGUUAAUUGAUGGGGUUAGCGCAAGCGAAGCUCUUGAUCGAAGCCCCGGUAAACGGCGGCCGUAACUAUAACGGUCCUAAGGUAGCGAAAUUCCUUGUCGGGUAAGUUCCGACCUGCACGAAUGGCGUAAUGAUGGCCACGCUGUCUCCACCCGAGACUCAGUGAAAUUGAAAUCGCUGUGAAGAUGCAGUGUACCCGCGGCUAGACGGAAAGACCCCGUGAACCUUUACUACAGCUUGGCACUGAACAUUGAACCUACAUGUGUAGGAUAGGUGGGAGGCUAUGAAGACGUGACGCCAGUUGCGUUGGAGCCGUCCUUGAAAUACCACCCUUGUAUGUUUGAUGUUCUAACUUAGACCCGUUAUCCGGGUUGAGGACAGUGCCUGGUGGGUAGUUUGACUGGGGCGGUCUCCUCCCAAAGAGUAACGGAGGAGCACGAAGGUGGGCUAAUCACGGUUGGACAUCGUGAGGUUAGUGCAAUGGCAUAAGCCCGCUUAACUGCGAGAAUGACGGUUCGAGCAGGUGCGAAAGCAGGUCAUAGUGAUCCGGUGGUUCUGUAUGGAAGGGCCAUCGCUCAACGGAUAAAAGGUACUCCGGGGAUAACAGGCUGAUACCGCCCAAGAGUUCAUAUCGACGGCGGUGUUUGGCACCUCGAUGUCGGCUCAUCACAUCCUGGGGCUGAAGUCGGUCCCAAGGGUAUGGCUGUUCGCCAUUUAAAGUGGUACGCGAGCUGGGUUUAGAACGUCGUGAGACAGUUCGGUCCCUAUCUGCCGUGGGCGUUGGAAGAUUGAAGGGGGCUGCUCCUAGUACGAGAGGACCGGAGUGGACGAACCUCUGGUGUUCGGGUUGUGUCGCCAGACGCAUUGCCCGGUAGCUAAGUUCGGAAUUGAUAAGCGCUGAAAGCAUCUAAGCGCGAAGCGAGCCCUGAGAUGAGUCUUCCCUGACAGUUUAACUGUCCUAAAGGGUUGUUCGAGACUAGAACGUUGAUAGGCAGGGUGUGUAAGCGUUGUGAGGCGUUGAGCUAACCUGUACUAAUUGCCCGUGAGGCUUAACCAUACAACACCCAAGGGGUUUUGUA